GAUGAAGAACGUAGCGAAAUGCGAUACGUAAUGUGAAUUGCAGAAUUCAGUGAAUCAUCGAGUCUUUGAACGCACAUUGCGCCCCCUGGUAUCCCGGGGGGCAUGCCUGUCCGAGCGUCAUUGCUGCCCUCAAGCCCGGCUUGUGUGUUGGGUCUCGUCCCCCUUCCCGGGGGGACGGGCCCGAAAGGCAGCGGCGGCACCGCGUCCGGUCCUCGAGCGUAUGGGGCUUUGUCACCCGCUCUGUAGGCCCGGCCGGCGCUUGCCGAUCAACCAAAACUUUUUUCCAGGUUGACCUCGGAUCAGGUAGGGAUACCCGCUGAACUUAAGCAUAUCAAUAAGCGGAGGA
rnacentral:misc_RNA from 1 species